rnacentral:rRNA from 1 species
GCACCACAAGAGCGUGGAGUAUGUGGCUUAAUUUGACUCAACGCGGAAAAGCUUAUCUGGUCCGGACACAGUGAGGAUUGACAGACAGUUAGACAGAAGUGAGGUUUUGGUAACAAUUGAGAGAGUUGAAGUUCUUUCAUGAUCUUGUGAGAGGUGGUGCAUGGCCGUUCUUAGUUCGUGUAGUGAUAUGUCUGCCUAAUCGCGUCACGAUAACCUAUUGGUCGACAACCCAAUUAUCACAACUGCAGCAUAACUCCCCUUGGGUGGGCGAGGCUCUGUGUAGAUAGACCUCUGAACAGUACGCAACGAACGCGAUCGUAAUCCCUUGUUGAGUGGCCAUCCUGUAAGCUGCUGGAUUAGGAACCCAGUGGUAUUAUCUCAGCCACAGAUUUUCUGGUUGUAGUGGGCCAGUUUUGAAACUCGGGGAACAUCUGUGACUUUCUUUCUUAACGCAGAGGAAGGUUAU